rnacentral:tRNA from 1 species
GCCACCGUAGCUCAGUUGGUAGAGCGCCUCACUUGUAAUGAGGAUGUCGCGGGUUCGACUCCUGCCGGUGGCU